rnacentral:rRNA from 1 species
CACUCCUGCGGGAGGCAGCAGUGGGGAAUAUUGCACAAUGGGCGCAAGCCUGAUGCAGCCAUGCCGCGUGUAUGAAGAAGGCCUUCGGGUUGUAAAGUACUUUCAGCGGGGAGGAAGGCGAUAAGGUUAAUAACCUUGUCGAUUGACGUUACCCGCAGAAGAAGCACCGGCUAACUCCGUGCCAGCAGCCGCGGUAAUACGGAGGGUGCAAGCGUUAAUCGGAAUUACUGGGCGUAAAGCGCACGCAGGCGGUCUGUCAAGUCGGAUGUGAAAUCCCCGGGCUCAACCUGGGAACUGCAUUCGAAACUGGCAGGCUAGAGUCUUGUAGAGGGGGGUAGAAUUCCAGGUGUAGCGGUGAAAUGCGUAGAGAUCUGGAGGAAUACCGGUGGCGAAGGCGGCCCCCUGGACAAAGACUGACGCUCAGGUGCGAAAGCGUGGGGAGCAAACAGGAUUAGAAACCCUGGUAGUCCCA